GCCAGAUUGGUGUAGUGGCAUCAGCACUGGACUGCAACUCUGGUGUCCAGGGUUCGAAUCCCGUUCAGCCA